rnacentral:lncRNA from 1 species
UGUCUUUGACUGUGUGAUUCCCUCUUUUUAAGUAGAAGAUUUCACACCCCUUUUAUGGGUGGAACUUGGCAGUUUCCAUUGUCUUGAAGUAUAUCUUCAAAAUAAUUCAUGAGACCUGUUAUAUUUUAUUUUAUACUUGCUCUUUAGAAACUCAAAUUUUUGAGGAGAAUUUAAAAUAAGAGCCAUUUGUUGUAUUACUUUUUAGAUCUAAGAAGAUAUCUAAUGAAGCCAAUGUGUAAUACUGACCUUACUGUACUGGAUUGAACUGUACUUAGUUGGCCUAAGGAGCAAAACUAAUUUUUAUUAUUUUUCUUGUUGUAUAAGAUUUCAGUGUGUCAAGCAAAUUCUAUUAAUUUUAAGUAUUUGGUUACAAGUAGGAGUUUUCACUGAUGUUGGCAAUGCUGUUCAUCCUUAAAGUAUUGAAAGUAAUGUUGGGAAAAGGUUUAAAUGAUUUUAAACUAUUUCAGAAUCAUUUUUAGAAUGUUAUUAUCUCCUUUCAUUUAAUUCAAAGUUCUUUGGCCCUAGGAGUUAGCUGUUACGCUGUAAAUACUGUAUUAUAACUGAUAACAUUUAUGUUUGGUGUACAAUUUACUUGGUGACCUUUAUUUUUAAGCUUGUUAUUUAUUCAAAACACUUUAUCAAACCUUAGAAACUUGCUAUAUAUGAUGCUUAUGUAGAUUUACAAGAAUAGAUCUUUAACUUAAAAUUAUUAAAUCUUUCUCGUGAUUUAAGGUGAUUUUCUCCGUUUGGUUUUUAAAAUGUUUCACUGUAGUUUUCACAUAAGAUUCUUAAGAAAUUAAAUACAAAAGAGAGAAUUUACUGAUCAUACCAAAAAUUUGCUUUAUGUAAUCUAGGGUGCACAAACAGUGCAGGCUCCUUGGCCAGCAUGGGGCUCUAACAUAAGGAUCAAGGAUCAAAAGUAAGAUGUGUGGUCACACAGAAAGAUCCAAGUCAGAAGGCUGGCUUGUGUUUUGUUUUAUCCAGGUCUUUGCCUUAUUGUACCUUGUAUGUGUAGUGAUAUUUAGAAGACCUAAUGAUAUUUGAAGACCAAUGGUUUUUGGUAACUGGAAUUAACUUAUUUUUUUAAGAUUUAUUUAUUUUAUGUAUUUUAUUUGAGUACACUGUAGCUGUACAGAUGGUUGUGAGCCUUCAUGUGGUUGCUGGGAAUUGAAUUUAGGACCUCUGCUCCCUCUGGUCAGCCCUGUUCUCUCAGUCCUUGCUGGCUCUGGCCCAAAGAUUUAUUUAUUAUUAUACAUAAGUACACUGUAGCUAUCUUCAGACACUCCAGAAGAGGGUGUCAGAUCCCAUUACAGAUGGUUGUGAGCCUCCAUGUGGUUGCUGGGAUUUGAACUCAGGAUCUUCGGAAGAGCAGUCAGUACUCUUACCCACUGAGCCAUCUCUCCAGCCCCUGGAAUUAAUUCAUAUUACAGGAGUCAAACUAUGUCACCAGAGUGCUUAGAGCAGUAAAGAAAACUUCAGAGAUUCAGAUGAACAGGACCAUCUGCUCAUGCCUGUCUAUAUAAGAGCAAACACACUUUUUGUUUGUUUGUUUGUUUAUUUAUUUAUUUAUUUAUUUUAAUUAAUUUUUUUAAAGUUCUGUGACCUGGGUUUUAAAGGAUUUUGAAGUCCAAAGUCUAGUCAUUGAAAGUUCCUCUCGGUUUUAUUCCUUCAAAAAGCAAAGUGAUUUGUAUUUUACAAAAUGGGUGUAGAUGAAGAACAGUGUAUUUGAAAGACUACUAUGGCAGAGUCCCACCAUUUACUAAUGAUUUAUUAUUAAGGACAGGAAGGCGGAUAAAUGAAUCCCUAUGUGAUGGCCUCUGCCUGCAGUCUUAGCACUCCGGAUCCAGCUGAGGCAGAAAAAAUGCCAUGGAUUUGAGGACAUCUGGGCUAGUGAGUUUAAGGCUAGUCAGGGUUACUGGCCCUAGGUUCUAUCCCCAGCACCUCUCCACCCCUAGCAAACAGGCUUAGGUUUGUUCAGUAGCACAGCUAUGUGAACUAAGUGUGAGAAUAUCCCAGAGCAGAGCUGUGCUGUGCUGUGCUGCACGGGCACUUAACUGUGAGUGUGCUUCAGAGGCCCCGAGCACAGUGGUGAGGCCUAAAGAGAAAAGGAUUGUCUUUUCUGAUUUCUCUUAAAUGUUGUUGUUUUCUUAAGUCUUAAUUUGAAAUCUAAAAAAUGUUGCCAGUUUGGUAGUUCACAGAAUAGUUUUUGGAGAGUAUUGGGGCUUUUAUUUUAUUUUACUUUAUUUUUUAAGUCAGACCUACAUGAUCGUAAUUAGUAGUUUUUAAGGAAGUUUAUUACUUUUUAAAAAAAAUCUGAAAAGGGCAUGAAGGAGGAUUGUUAAAUAUUACAUCAGUUUUAUAUCAUUGGGGCAGAUGAUUGACUUUCUCAUUCUUACUGCUAUUCUAAAAGUUCUUUCUGUAUUAAAGAUAGACUCACGCACUACAGUGCUAAGGAAGGUAAUAGAAAAAUGAACUGCAGGUCUGUGUCUGUUUUCAUUGCAGCUUCACUCUAUUUAAGCAGACUUAAAACCUAGCACAUUUUAUAGUUUUUGUUUUAUUUAUAAUUUCAUUUUCUGAUCAAAAAAAUUUUUUAGCUUUCUUUAAAGGAUUGAUU